GAGAGACACUGGUAUGAAGUGAAAACCAUCAGCAGUGAUACAUAAAGAGAAGCACAGCUCAAGGUUCAACAGAAGAUCCAGCAAGGGGAAAACCCUAUUCCUGUGUGGAAGCAUACUGCCAAUGGCCACAGCAUGAAAGGAAUCAUACAUGCAGGGAAAAGUGUGGGUGUGGAAAAGUCACAAACAGUACCUGAAGAUGAGCCUGCUUAUACAUAAAACUGAAAUGCAUCAGAAUCUGUCUAGUGUGGAGAGGGUGUCAGCCCCCUACACAUCCCA
rnacentral:lncRNA from 1 species